AAAGAAUCUAAGCUCUGCUUUCCUGCUGGUGGCCGUUUCUCCGUAUAAAAGCAAAGGAUUUAAUCUCUGCAUCCCAGAAGCUGGAGCUGGUAGAGAAGAAUACAUUGUGAUGUGACAUCUGUCAGACAGAAAGGGUGACUAGAACAUGGUGACAUUAUGGGUAAGUCACUUGUCUUCCUGCAUCCUUAUCCAUUAAGGGUGAUAACACUCUCCAGUCUUUUGUUCAUCAGCAAACCUUUGAGGCAUCAAUGCCUUGUCAUCUCAGAUGGAUGGUAGGACCAUGUACUUUGCAGUAAAUUGUAUUAUAUCAGCUGUUCCAGGACUUGCUGGUCGGUGUUAUACUGGAGGUACUCUGAUCUGCAUGAGACAGAAGCCGGGCUUCACCCCGGAAGCCAGUAGAAGACUGGGCAGUCCUCCCUUCCUACUCCUGCCAUGAGAGGUGAAGGCAAAACUGAAAGCAGACACCUAAAUGAGUAUCUAUUCCAUAAGGUGUCCCAGACUUGUGAGCUCAUAUGUGGUUGUCAUAGAAACCUGGGGUCAUUAUGGUGACCGUUUUCAAUGGCUACCCAGACAAUGUCCUGGAAAGGAGAAUUCCUGCUAUUUGUACUGAGUGAGCUUCUGGGUUCCCAGAGGAGUUUGGCUCAGUGCUUGGCUGUGGACCUCUGAUUCUGCUUCGAUUAGCUACUGAAUGAAGGCUCUCGGAUGGCAUAUAAGGUUGUCAUCAAUUUCAUUGUAGGGGAAAGACAUUAAAGGUCUCACUGUGUGUGUUCAGGGGAAUGUGAUGAACUGGGAAGAGGAAGACCAUCAUUGCAUAACUUCCACUGAUGGAGUCUGCACAGUAUAAAAGCAAAGGAUUUAAUCUCUGCAUCCCAGAAGCUGGAGCUGGUAGAGAAGAGUACAUUGUGCUGUAACAUCUGUCAGACAGAAAGGGUGACUAGAACAUGGUGACAUUAUGGUAGAACCUGAGAGAAAGCUUCGGGCUCUCCAUCCAGAGCCAGCUUGUGGAGAAGAAACAAUUGUGGUGUAGAGUCUUGUGAGCAUGUUACCUGGGCCAGAGUGACAAGAUCAUGUGGGACACAAUAGAGUCUGGGUCAUUGGCUCUGCACACAUAGCCACAGCCAGUACAACAGCAGCAUCCAAUCCCUUGUUGUUACCUUUGAGGAAGCUGGGGCUUCUAAGGAGUGUGGGUGAGGAGUUACUUAUAGACGGAAGAACCACUGAGGGGCAGCUGUGUCCCUGAAAGUCCAUCCAAACAUGGGCAAUGGCAACAAAAUCUGAAAACCUGAAGCUCAGUGAACAACUUGCUUAUAUAAUCUUGGUGAGGGGAGUGCCUUGUGCAUCUGGUCAGUUUUAAAGACUUCCAGAGACUGCUGAAUUGUUUACUUUUGAGUCUCAAGGAGCCUGACUUUAGAAUUUCCUGAGUCUUAACAAGCCCCGUUUAGAAAUUCCUGGGUCUUAAUGAGCUGUGGAGGAAUUGCUAUACAACGCCAUCAGGGCUGGCGUCCACAGGGAGUGCAGCAGGCAGCACUAUUCUUUAGAACACCCUGCUUCUACUCCACAUAGCCUGUUGUGUUUAUGAUUGCCAUAUUUAACUCAACUCGCUACAAUAUCACUUCUACAAAACAAUUCUUGUUAUUGGUUGCAGUGUGUUGUAUUAUUUUGCUUAGCUGAAAUCUGGAUUCUACUGGAAAUGAAGUAUUUAUACGUUACAUCUGACCACUCUAGGACUCUCAAGAAAAAAAAAAACUAAGAGAAGUAUUGCAAUGGGAGACCCAUGCAAAACUAGUAGAUGAGAUUAACAAUACAGACAAAACAUUGCCAUCGUUAAUGGAAACUGUUGAUUUUAUGUGUUAACUGAUUGAAUCAAGGUAAUCCAUUGUUUCUGGGGAUGUCUGUGAAGAUUUUCCUGGAAAAGAUUAGUGUUUGACUCAGUAGACAAUUGAAUAAAGGAGAUCUGCCUUCAGCAGUGUGGUCAGAAGCAUCAAGCCAACUGAAGGGCCCAGACAGAAGAAAAGCAUGGAAGAACUGUGCGCUGACACUCUACACUAGAGCCAGAAUGUUCUUAUGGAAUGGGUGAUGGUGACUCUCCAUGGAAAAUGCAGGGUGUCUGAGUAUCUAGAGAAAAGACAGGCAGUUUCAUUCCAGAAAGGCUUGUGCUGGGCUCAGCUAAUUCAGAUAAGAAAACUGACCCAGGACCUCCUUUCCUAUUGCACAAACCAACACAGAGGCCCUGUAUGCACAAAUUCACAGCUUCUCUACCAGGCUUUUACACUACCAGUGGGAAUUUUUCCACUGUAAACAUAGUGGGGCCUGCUACCACAUACCUCAGGGAAGUCUGCAGAUUCCAGAGCUUUCUGAAAUUCUUCAGAGUGCUGGAUUCUAAGCCCAUUUGUCACUUUGCAUGGGAGGAAUAAUGAAGGCUCCUACCGUGUUUGCCCCCUGCUUUUUCUUGAUCUCCUCUGCUGCCUCCUCUUGUAGAGCUGUGUGGCAAGAGAAGCUACUCAUCUUAACAGCUGUGAGGAAUGGACUCUUUCCAUUGCAAUGGCCACCUGAUCACUUACCCUCACCAUGCAGGAGCAGAAAUGGAAGGCACAUUGUGAGCACGCAGUUUCAAUUACUAAGGUGACCAUCUCGAGCAUAUGUGCAUGAAAAAUCAUGCACAAGAAUGGUCACAUGACAUAGCGACUCAUAUCAAAGCAGUCCCAGAUGACCUAACUCGAGAAGCCCCAGAAAUACUUUCCAGAAUGAAAAGUGGCCGUCUGCAUAUUAAUCUAUGGGUUCUUUGACAGCUACAUACAUGCCAACACUCAGUUGCUUUGCAUAAUACUCUCUAACCAUCCACAUAUGCCAGAAUCCUAAGGGCACUGAUCUCCCUGAGUGCAUGAGUGUGUGCCCCCCCACCCUACACCUCCCUCUGUUGACCCAACCUUGCCAAUUGACAAACUCCCUCUCGAGUCUUGCAACUCGUAUUUUGAUCACCAGAUGGCGCCUGACUAUUUUCAAAAUGCUAGUUUUUAACUCUAAAAAGGUAUACUUUUUGUGAACAGAAACAAAAAUACUUCUCAAAACCAGUAAUAAAAAAUUAAGUACCAACUUAAUUUGAUUCUCUUUGUGUAUUGUGUAUUAUACAAGACUGGGUGGAGGCACACACACACACACACACUUCCUUCGGCUAUAUCAUCAAUUUAUUUCUGGGCACUAGGAGUUUACACUGUGCCAGGUAUCAUCAGUCCAACCCCAUAUCUACACGUCUCACAAUUCCUUUUCUCCCUCUUUUGAUCUGCUUAUAAAGUAGUGGAUUCCCAUAAAAACGAUUCAAAAUGACUGCCAUCCACGCAUGUGUGGUACAACGUCACCUCUGGCCCAAAUUAUAAUUGAAAAUUGUACCGUCAAAAUAAACCUCGGGAAACCAUGGAAGCUUUUGACCCAUACUUCCCAUGGUGCUAGCUUUCAAGCCCCAACCUGCUCCUGAGUAUAUUUCACUUACGAAGAGGGGAGGGGAGGAUAAGCCCUGUGUGGUGUCAGUCUUGG
ensembl:lncRNA